rnacentral:rRNA from 1 species
UACAGAGGGGGCAAGCGUUGUUCGGAAUUACUGGGCGUAAAGGGCGCGUAGGCGGCCUUCUAAGUCGAACGUGAAAUCCCCGGGCUCAACCCGGGAACUGCGUCCGAUACUGGAAGGCUUGAAUCCGGGAGAGGGAUGCGGAAUUCCAGGUGUAGCGGUGAAAUGCGUAGAUAUCUGGAGGGACACCGGUGGCGAAGGCGGCAUCCUGGACCGGCAUUGACGCUGAGGCGCGAAAGCCAGGGGAGCAAACGGG